UUCUGAGCCUUUGAGAUUGAGCUUCAAGCUCUCAUUCCAUGACGAGACAAGGAGCACCGAGCUUGAACAAAUACUAGCAGAUACUGAAGCACCAUAUUUUAAGAGAAUCCGUUCAGCUUCCUGGGUUGAACUGAAAUUGCUUUUCCACCUUGCAGCUCCAGCUGUGAUUGUUUACUUGCUCAAUAAUGUUGUUUCCAUGUCUACUCAGAUCUUUUGUGGUCACCUCGGAAACCUUGAGCUUGCUGCUGUCUCUCUUGGUAACACUGGUAUCCAGAUGUUUGCCUAUGGCCUUAUGGUAAUACCUCUGCCCCCCCCCCUCUCUCACAUAUAUAUGGAUGAUUGUGAUCAUUAGUUAGCUAAGAAAAGGAAGGAUAGCAAGAAGAAAAGUUAAUUCUUGUUUUGAUUUUCUUUUCCUUUCAUAUUUCUUGCUUUAGCUAGAAUAAGGAUUUGGAAGAUUGGCUUUUCUCGUGUGUUUUUUUUUUAAACCUUUAGGCCAAAAGUGGACUGAGGAGAAAAGGGAAAAAAAAUAAUUUUAUGCUUUGUUCUCCAGAGAUUUUGUCUUCCCCUGUUAUCUCUGUUUUCCCCCCCUUCUUCUUCAAGAAUUUUCCCUUUUCAGGCAACAAAAAUGGUGGGGGUUAAAAUUCUUUCAUACCUUCUCUAUCAAGUGGAGAAUUGUCCUCUAGUUAUAUUAAAAAAGCUUGCUUUUCUUGCAGCUUGGAAUGGGAAGUGCAGUGGAGACACUAUGUGGCCAAGCAUUUGGGGCACAUAGAUAUGAAAUGCUAGGUGUAUACCUCCAAAGAUCAACAAUUCUCCUCAUGGCAACGGCUAUCCCUCUAAUGGUGAUCUACAUAUUUAGCGAACCUCUCUUGAUGUUAUUAGGUGAACCAGUCAGCAUAGCAUCAGCAGCUGCAGUUUUUGUGUACGGACUUAUCCCUCAAAUUUUUGCUUAUGCUGCCAAUUUUCCAAUUCAAAAAUUUUUGCAAGCCCAAAGCAUAAUUGCUCCUAGUGCAUAUAUAUCAUUGGGUGCCCUUGUGGUUCAUGUUUUGCUCUCCUGGUUCGCAAUCUUCAAAUGGAACUGGGGCUUGCUAGGUGCUGGCCUUGUCUUGAGUUUCUCAUGGUGGAUCAUUGUGGCGGGUCAGUUUGUGUACAUUCUAACGAGUAGUAGCUGUAGAAAGACAUGGCAAGGUUUCAGUUCGGAGGCCUUUAGCGGGCUUUGGAGCUUCUUCAAACUGUCUGCUGCAUCAGCUGUAAUGUUGUGUUUGGAGACUUGGUACUAUCAGAUUUUAGUAUUGAUUGCUGGGUUGCUUAAAAAUGCUGAGGUUGCAUUGGAUGCUCUCUCAGUUUGGUAAGCAAUUAACUAGACUUGCUUCUUUCGUAUUUUCCAUGUCUUGCCCGCCUCAAGAAAAGUAAAGGCAUCGUUGCUUCUUGUGCUUGGAUUGACUGACUUGUUAACACUAUCUACUCCUCUCUAUUUGCAGCAUGACAUUAUCCGGAUGGGUGUUUAUGAUUUCAGUUGGAUUUAAUGCUGCUGCAAGGUCAGUUUUUGUUAUGAAAGAGAUCAAGGAUAAACGCUUUCAUUUUGCUGUAAGCAUAUAGCAUUGCAGACAAUUAACAUAUACUUGGUCUUAACCAAUUAACAAAUCACGACCAGAUCACUAGGUUGACUUAAUCUUUAACUGGUUUGAAAUUAUUAUGUCUCGCAUCAUCUUAUAUAUGAACUCUCACAAAUAUGAUUUUAACAUCUACUUAGUCUUAAACAGUGUGAGAGUGAGCAAUGAGCUAGGAGCAGGACAUCCAAAAUCAGCUUCAUUUUCAGUCAUCGUGGUGACAUCCUGCUCGUUUAUAAUUUCAGUAAUCGCAGCCAUUAUUGUGCUGAUAUUUCGAGACUCCAUUAGCUACAUCUUCACUGAAGGUGAAGUUGUUGCUAAAGCUGCCUCUGACCUCUCCCCAUUCCUUGCCGCUACUCUCAUACUAAAUGGCAUCCAGCCUGUCCUGUCCGGUAAGAUCUUGACCAAGUAUUUGUUUAUUUUUCCUUAACAACAGGUGCAAUGGAUCUUCGGGUACAAAAUCACUGAAAUUUCUUUGUGUUAAAGGUGUGGCUGUCGGGUGUGGAUGGCAAGCAUUUGUUGCAUAUGUGAACGUAGGAUGCUACUACGUUAUCGGAGUUCCAGUAGGAGUGCUUCUUGGUUUUACAUUUGACCUUGGUGCCAAGGUAGGAUCAUUGCCUUUGUUACAAGAGCUCUUAGCUUUACUAUUUUUCUUUAAUGGCUAGACAUUCAUUUUUUAACUUGUCAGAGAUAUUUUGGUAUUGUGGUAGGUUUUGUAUUUUUUUCCAAUCACAUAGAAAAAAAUAUUUGGUUAGCCGAACAAUUUAUACUUUUUUGCACUGUGCCCCAUACAUGAUUGUGUUUAAAGCCGUGUUUUGUAGAAGCUAAGAUGACUACUUUUCAUUCAUGAAUACCUGUUUUUUAUUUAUUUGUAUGCAAGAUUUAUUCCACAAUAUUUUCAACUAAAUAUAUUUUUUUAAAACCGCAACUAUAAGUGUUUUUUUUUUAAAUUUAUUUUUUAAAACUGCAAUCACAAAAGUUUUCAAAAACACUUUAUUUUUGCAUGUAGAAAUCAAAUUUACAUAUUCUGCCAGGUAAAAAGAGCUGGAUGCUAAACUUUCGAGUUAAUUCAUUUGAUAGUUGUAAAGUGCGUCUACUUUAGCUCCACUAAUUAUUGUUUAUCAUUCGUAGUGUGUAUAUAUAUAUCAUCAUUUAGUGCAUGCCCCACUUUUAAAGAGAUUGAAUUUUAAUCAUGUUCUAUAGGCUCUGAUGAUUAAACGAAACCCUAAGCACAGAGCCAAUCCUUCAAUGUUAUUUGAAGUGCUAAGACAGUGAACGUAGGGAAGAAAAUGUUCGAAGCAUGAUUUAAGGUAUCUAAUGUAUUUAUUUUGCAGGGAAUAUGGUCAGGCAUGUUAGGAGGGACCGUUUUGCAAACUAUAAUCUUGGUGUGGGUUACUUUGAGAACAGAUUGGAAUAAAGAGGUAAAAACCCAAUUCCCAUUUUCAUCACAAAUCAACAUCUAGAAGAGAUUGGUCACGUCCCUUCCAUAAAUCACUUUGGCCACCGUAAUUAUUAUAGUAAUUAUUGUAGGCCAACCGCACUCAUAUCUCCUUUUCAAUUAUUGAACACAAUCUGCUCUCAAUACACGUCCCAAUGCUUACUUAUGUUUCCAAUGUCUGCCAUCCAUGCAUGGAAUGGACAUGCCAUGCUUUCGCUGGUUUGGAAUAUUGUUUAAAAUAUUAAAAAUAAUUUUUUUAAAAUAAAAAAUAUUGUUUAUGUAAUUUCAAAUGAAAGUUACUUUUAAUCAUUAUACUUCCAAACACCGAGCUUUAUCACCCUUACCCUUUACAAAAAAUUACUACUAUACAUAUAAAUUACAUGUGAAUGAUUUUUUUCAUAUCAUAUUAUUUUGAGUUAAAAAAAGUAAAAUGACUAGUAACAUUAUCAAUUUGUGUCGAAAUUUACAGGUGGAGAGUGCCAAAAACCGAUUGAGUUCAUGGGAUGAAAAAGGGCAGCCUCUUCUUGUGGAGUAAUUAAAGUAGACUUUGUGAAGAGCGCGAUUGCGGUUUUUGGACUCAUCAUGUGCUGAAGACAUUGAUUUUUGUCCUUCCAGUUUAGUCUCGGGGGUUGAUGGAUAGGAAGGAAUAAUUUGUGAUGACGAGUCUGCUAUAUAUCUCUACUCAUAAUGAUGUUGGAGGAAUAAUUCUUACAACUCAGAGAAUGGAAAGUGGUGUUCUAAUUGGAAUUGUUGUGUCUAGGGAGAGGAGUUCUACAUAUAACACUUUUCCUUUUGUAAUAAGAGAUGAUUUUUGAACUAAAUAAUACAUUAAUCCUGUAGUUCAAUUCAAUCUGGAGUCUAUAAUUUACAUCUGUCGGGUCCCUAUAAUUUGGUGACACACCAAAUUUGAGAUUAUGUGUUACCCACGGUUUAGUGUCUUUUAGGUAUUGCAGUAUAAUUUUUUUAAUUUAAAAAUAUAUUAAAAUUAUUAAAAAAAUAUCAAUUUAAAGCUUUUUAAAUGAAAUAUUUUUUAAAAAAACAUUUAAUUAACAAGCAUUCAAUCAUGAAUAUUUUAUAGAUAGAUUGUGGAAAUAUGCAUGUUUAUCCGUUAGAUAUAUUAAAGAGCCAUCUUAAAUUAUAAACAAUUAUUUAAUUAAAAAGCAUGCAAUCAUGAAUAUUUUAUAGAUAAAUUAUAUAGAUAUGCAUAAUGACAUAAAAUUAUUAUAUUGAAAGUCAUCAUCUUAAAUUAUAGAAAAGUCUAAAUCUCAGAGAGAAAUAAUUUAGUUUAAAACUUGUAUAAGAUUAUAAAUAUUUUAUUAAUUUAAUCAAAGAGAAAGAAGAAGAUGAGAGUUGAAUUUUAUAAUAAUUUUAUCUCAUUAUGAUAACUAAAAAAUCUAAAUAUAUAUGUCAUAUGGAUAGAGAUUGUGAACAUGAAAGAGUUAGAUUUUAAUUGAUUUAGCACUAUUAUAUUUAUGCCUAUAAUUAAUUACUCAAUGACUAAGACUUUUUAUAGUAUCCAUUUAUUUUCCAAAUGAUGGGAUCAAGGAAAUGGCUGCAUACACGUAUCGUAUUCUUCAAAACAGGACAAGGAAACCAGCCGGAACCAAUUAAUCAAGAUAAUGGAGGAAGAGAAACCUAAAAGAGAACUGUAUCAUUUAGUCCAAAGCAAGUUCUUGACCACAAACCAUUGUAUUUUCAUGACCACAAAUCAUCCAGUGGCCAGGACAAAUUAAAUCUAAUAAUUCACGUCUAGGAUUUUGUGUUUCAGAAUUUUUGCUUGCUUACUAGAACGUUCAAUUUCAACGAUUCUUGGACACCAUAAUCAAGUAGGACCAUUCUCCAAAUUUCUAUGUUCUUUUUUCCUCUCACGAGGGACGGCUUCCAAGUUUGAACUUGAAAUUUCAGCGUGAAAAUUAGACUCCAAAUUUUAGCUGAAUGUUCUUCGCAGAUUUUAUAUGUGAAAUCCCCAUCCGAAUAUGAUGAUUAAAAAAUAAAUUUCGAAAUCGAAAUUGAGGAACUGGUCAUUAAACUCUUGACUACUAGUCUUUUAUGGUGUUAAAACAAGUCUUUUAUGAUGAUUAUUGGACGUUUUGACUUAAAGAAAUUAAAUUCCGAAACCAAAUCUUAUUAAAUACCUACAAAUCAAUCAUAGUUUCCUUGCUAAUCACCACCGAUCAGUGAGACUACGAAGGCAAUUGUUUAAUUGAAUAGAUUAAACUUAUUACCAUUAAUUUGAAACUGAUUUUUGAUAGAUCUAUGAUUGUUCUUUGAUACCAAUGAUUGAACCCACCGCAAACCACAAAAUCCACUUUGUAUUUGUUUUUUUAAUUUUGGAUUUGGUGUCUAACGUUGCGUUUGAGUUCAGCUUGUGAGACUUGGAUUAGCUCAAUUUUUUAGUAUUUCUGUUUUUUGUGGGGGCAGCAAUGGAUGAUGAUGAUGAUACAAGAGGAAAGCAUAAGAUUAGAGAAGUAAAAGAGAAGAAGAAAACUGCCCUGGCAUGAGUGCUCGCUCGCCACCAAAACCCAAAUCGAAAAAGCCAAUGAGAACAUAGAUAUUCAUAUACCAAAACAAAACAAGAAUCAUAAUCAUCACGUCCUUGGAGAAUUUCACUACAGAGAAAAGGAAAAUGAUCUGGCAGCACCGCACUCACAUUAAAUUUAUAAAAAAGAGGUAAUAAGAUUACAUUGCCAUUAGGCAGUCUCAUAUUAUUAUUAUUAUUUUUUAAAUUGUGCAUUUUGUAACCCUAGUGCAUGCACGCGACCUCUCACAUGUUUAUACUUUACAAAACUUUUCUUUUCAUUUUUCACACGCAACCCACAACAACGUGAAGCACAUUCGACAAAAUAAAUGAUGUAAUGAUGGAGACGUAGCAAGGAUACCAAUGAAAUUAACCACACUGAUUUCACAUUUGACUUCAUGAAUGCAGUUGUCUUUGUAUAGACCAUGUUGACUACACAAUGCGGAAAGGAGGAAUCCAAGAAUUUACAAGUAUCUUCUUCGAUUUAAACUUUAGCAUAUAAGUAGUAUCUGUUAUGUACAUCAAGACAAAACAUUUAUUAAUUUGAUAUAGAAGCUCAAAUCACAAGCGCAAAAGAGGAGGGAAAUGGAGACCGAUCCUGAUCCGAGAUUAAGCUUUAAACUCUCUGUCCAUGAUGGUCAUGAGACAGUGAGCGAUGAGCUUGAACAAAUACUAACAGAUACUGAAGCACCAUACUCUAAGAGAAUCCGUUCAGCUUCUUGGGUUGAACUGAAAUCGCUUUUCCACCUUGCAGCUCCAGCUGUGAUAGUUUACUUGCUCAAUAACGUUGUUUCCAUGUCUACUCAGAUCUUUUGCGGUCACCUUGGAAAUCUUGAGCUUGCUGCUGUCUCUCUUGGUAACACUGGUAUCCAAGUUUUUGCCUAUGGCCUUAUGGUAAUACCUCCUGAUCUCUGCCUGCUUUUCUCAUAUAUUUCAUGGAUGGUCAUGAUCAUUCUCUCUUCUUUUCUUCUCUUUCUUUUGUUUAUUCCUUUCCUUUUUACCCUUUUAAACUUUAGUGAGGAUUUGGAAGUAGUGUUUCUUUUUUUUUUUUUGGGGGGGAAGACUUUAGGCCAAAAAAGAACUUCAUGCAUAAUCCUCCAUCGGUUUGUCUUUCCAGUUAUCUAAUUUCUUUCUUUAUACUUCUUGUUUUUUCUUUCUAUAUCAAGUGGAGAAUUCUCCUCUACUUUUGCUAAGGAAGUUUUUGUCUUGUUGCAGCUUGGUAUGGGAAGUGCAGUAGAAACUCUAUGUGGCCAAGCAUAUGGAGCAAAUAGACAUGAAAUGCUAGGCAUAUACCUCCAAAGAUCAACUGUUCUCCUCAUGGCAACAGGGAUCCCCUUAAUGAUGAUCUAUAUAUUUUCCAAACCUAUCUUGAUCUUACUUGGGGAGCCAGUCAAUAUAGCAUCAGCAGCUGCAGUUUUUGUCUUUGGACUCAUCCCUCAGAUUUUCGCUUAUGCUGCCAACUUUCCUAUUCAAAAAUUCUUGCAAGCACAAAGCAUAAUCGCGCCUAGUGCGUACAUAUCACUAGGUGCACUUGUGGUGCAUGUUUUGCUCACCUGGCUUGCAGUCUUCAAAUGGAACUGGGGCUUACUAGGAGCAGGUCUUGUGUUGAGUUUAUCUUGGUGGAUCAUUGUGGUGGCUCAGUUUGUGUACAUUGUAACGAGCAAGAAGUGUAGAAAGACAUGGAAAGGUUUUAGCGUGAAGGCCUUUAGUGGGCUUUGGAGCUUCUUCAAACUGUCUGCUGCAUCAGCAGUAAUGUUAUGUUUAGAGACUUGGUACUUUCAGAUCUUAGUCCUGAUUGCUGGAUUGCUUGAAAAUGCUGAGGUUGCAUUAGACUCACUCUCAGUUUGGUAAGUAAUUUACUAGACUUGGUUCUUUCAGAAUAUUUUAUUUCUUGCUACCUUCAAGAAAAGAAAUUCGAAGAAAAGGUAUGGUGCUUGACAAUGUCGAUCUUGCUAACACUAUGGACUUACUUGUGAACACCAUUCAUUCCUCUCUUCUUUUAAUGCAGCAUGACAAUAUCUGGAUGGGUUUUCAUGAUUUCAGUUGGAUUUAAUGCUGCUGCAAGGUUUGUUGAUCUUUCAAUUAUCUAUAUUUUGUUUUUGAUUAAUUACUAUAUAUUAGAAAAACUUAUAUAGAAUAAAACAAUUAUUGGAAUAAUUGAUAUAGAUAUAAAACAAUCUAUAUCUAUCAAUUAAUCCCAUAAUUGUUCCAUCCAUGAAAUUACACCCACCAAUUAUUACAGUUGUUUAAAAAACAGUAGGACAUCAUGAUGUCUUGUCAAUAAAUAGGUUAACUGGUUUGAAAUUAUUAUGUUUCUCAUCUGCUUAUGUAUGGAAGCUCGCAAGUAUAAUUUUCAACACACCAUGAUAUUGUCCCAAGGUCAGUGUACACCAUGCAGGGGAAUUGCAAUUUUACAUAAAUAUAUAGGAGCACCAUAUUUAUUUACAUAAAGAUAGGCAAUUAACAUCUACUUGGUCUUAAACAGUGUGAGAGUGAGCAAUGAGCUAGGAGCAGGACAUCCAAAAUCAGCUUCCUUUUCAGUCCUUGUGGUGACUUCCUGCUCAUUUAUAAUUUCAGUAAUCGCAGCCAUUAUUGUGAUGAUAUUUCGAGACUCCAUUAGCUAUAUCUUCACUGAAGGUGAAGUUGUUGCUAAAGCUGCCUCCGACCUCUCUCCACUCCUUGCUGUCACUCUCAUACUAAACGGUGUUCAGCCUGUUCUAUCCGGUAAGUGUUGUACGGUGGAUAGUGUUUUUUUUAUUUAGAAAUUUAUUAAAAUAAUAUUUUUUAAAACCUUUGCUGUUGCCUCUUGUCGUCGCAACAAAUGUGUCUCUCAGGAAAAAAAAAUCUUAAUUUUAUGUUCUCAUAAGACAAGGGAGGUAGCAUUGGAAUGUUGACAAAAUCGAGGAAAGAAGAAGGGAAACAUCAAUGGUUGUCAUUACAGCAAAUCAAGCUUAAGUGUUCCGGCGAAGAUGGAACUUCACGUUGUCUUCAUUAUGAUAUAUAGUACAAAAUCUAACUGUUUCCUUAAAUUUUGUGUGUGCUGAAGGGGUGGCCGUUGGCUGUGGAUGGCAAGCAUUUGUUGCAUAUGUGAACGUAGGAUGCUACUACCUUAUUGGUAUUCCACUAGGGGUGCUUCUUGGUUUUAAAUUUGACCUCGGUGCCAAGGUAAAAAACUAUCGCAUUCAUCAUGUUCCUUUAAAAAUGUCUAAAAAAACAGAUGUAUGAAACAAAUAUAUAUUUUUAUUAAAACCUCUUAAUUAAACUUAAUUAAGAGGGUUCUAUAUAGUGUGGUGAGAUUCUUAUCAUGAAUGGUUGUUAUAUAGUUAUUGUUUAAUUUCUACAGGGUAUAUGGUCAGGCAUGUUGGGGGGCACAGUUUUGCAAACUUUGAUUUUGCUGUGGGUCACUUGGAGAACAGACUGGAAUAAAGAGGUAAGUACACACUAAUUAACAUCUGAUCAUGUUAAUUAUGUUAGUCUCCCUUUUAAUUACCACUCUAAUCAAACAAAAGCCACUCUCCUUGGUUGUGUGUGUUUGGAUUACGCAAGCAUUUUUAUUAUUAUUAUUAUUAUGUCGCGUAAUUUUCAGGUGGAGGGUGCCAAAAAUCGGCUAAGUUCAUGGGAUGACAAAAGUGAGCCUCUUCUACAGAAGUGAAUGGAUCAUACGUUUCUUGUCCAAUAAUUGGGAUUGGCACACAAGACAAAUUAACGCAUGAUGAUGAUAAGAAUGCGAUCAACUUCAAUUUCUAAUGGAGUUUACUGUUGUUUCAAGGGCUCUUGGCCCCUUCAAUCUCACUCUUAUUUUUUCUUUUCUCAAAUUAAUGCAUGUUUGUUAUAUUUUCUAUUGAGAGUUGAAAUUAGUAUUAAAAAACAAAGUUUAUUGAUUAAUUAUUGUGUUUUGCAAAACUUGUGUAUAUAUUAUUUUUUUAAAAAUAAGGACCGUCAUAAUACAUUGUUUAGAUGUAGGAUAAAUAGACUUGGUCAUUUGGAGAAGUGUCGACUGGCCAUAUGAAAGUUCCCAUAAAGAGUACUGGAGGAAGGAGAUUCUUUCUCAAUUGUGAAAGGAGAGACUGAACCAGAAAUUCUAGUGCUGUUGUUAUCUGCUUCUUUCUGCAGUUGACGCCAUUAAAAUAUAUAGGAAAAAGCUUAGUGAUCAUUAAUUUGAGAAUGAUUAGAUUUAGCCUUGGCUUAUGAAAUAUUGGAAAGAUGUUAGUACAUUAGAAGAAGAAAGGAGAGAUUCGAAUCUGAGAUCUUUUAAAUCUUCAUCUUGCUUGAUUUGACGUGGCUCGAAGGUCAUUCAAAUAAAGAACAAGUAAACACAUAUAAGUUUUUUUUUCAUUAAAUUUUAUUUAAUUUUUUGAAGGUUUUAAUGAGAUAUAUUUUUAAUACAUGAUUAUUUAAGGGGAAAUAUUAUAAAAUUUAUAAUUAUAUAUAUUGAAUGCACAUUAAACUCUUAGACUUCAUGAAUCUUCAGGUUUUCUUUUUUUUGGUUUUUUAUAACACUUAAAAAUUUUUAGUGCCUUUUAAUGUUUUUUUUAUAUAUAUAUAAAUAGGCUAUUUGUAUUGUAUUUUAAAUAUAAAAAAUAUAUGAUUUUAUUUUUAAAUUUUAUUCUGAACAUGUAUGGAUUUCCUUAAUUUUUAUUUUUUAAAACAAUUUUAUAGUUUUAUACUGUAUUUUUGUAAUUAUAUGCGCGUGUAUUCCACCUUUCACAUUAUUAAUUUAUUGGCAUCCUGCUGUUGCACCGUUUACUAAACAGGAUCCUAUAAAAAAAUCCCCAUCAUGUGCUUCGUGACCAUAAUGCAAAUCUGGAAAAACUCAAAGGGUAACCUAAGAAAAGUAUUUUAUUCAAAUCAAAUUAUUUUAUUCCCGUCGAACUAAUGAAUAUUAAAAAAUUUAUAAUUAAAAAAAAACUGGAGGUUAAAAAAAUAAAAAUAAUGAACUAACAAUUGAGAGUACUUAUUCGAUCUUUUACAAAGUCCAUUAAUUAUUGUCAAAUUAAUUAAAAAUAAAAGUCUUUUUACAUUUAAAAAAUAUAGUGAAAUCAUAAAUUAUCUUUAAAAGCAUAUAUAUAUAUAUAUAUAUAUAAAUGAUUCAGGCCAUGGGGUUAGUUGUCUUACUUGAUUUUGAUUUUUUAGGUUCUUUUUCUUUGUCGAUUUCUUUCCAGUUUCAAUAUCCUUUAAUAGUUGGUUUGUUGGGAAUUAGGUUUUUUGAUUUGUUUUUUUAUUUAUUUUUUAUUAGGUUUUCCUACUUUUAUUACUCGUGUUAAAAGUUUGUCAUGCCAAUUUAGAUUAACUUGAGUUUUUUUUGUUUUUUUUAUUAUCAUUUUGACCUAAUUUCAUCUUUCUAUAUUUUAACUUGCUUUCUAUAAUUUUUUUUUGAUAAUUUUAAAAAUGAUCCAGAUUAUCUCAGGUCUUUUUAUUUAUCGUUCUUUGUUAAUGUUGCUACUCAUUUUUGGGUUCCAAAAAAAAAAGAAAAAAAAUACAAAAACAUACCUAUAAAAAAUAAAUAAUAAUAAUAAUAAUAAUAAUAAUAAUAAUAUAUUCGGAAGGAAUCCAAAAAUAACAGGAGUGAGAAAAGGAUGCUGGAAAUAAAAUGGCUAGAAAUUGAUUGAGGAGAUUCAAAAAUACAAGAAUUGAAAUUUGACAAUAUAUUUUUGACUAAUGAGAACCCUAUUGACAAGGAAAAUUGAAUUUGAAAAAGAAAAGUUCAAAAUCAUAUGUUUAUGAACUCAAUUAAAUUUUAUUGAAGGUUUAAUUGAAUUUAUAGAGGGUUUGAUGGCAAGAAAAAGAUGUUUUAAAGUCAAUUUGGGGUUUAUUGGAAAUAAAUUAAAGUUCAGGGAUCCAAUUAUAAUUUACCAGGGGCUUGGUUACAAAAUUGUAAAAACAUCUAAGGACCAAUUCAGAAAUAUCCAUUUGAAUUUGAAAAGGGCGCUGUUCCUGGACAACUGUUCAUUGUCUUCUUCCUCAGCAGUUGUUUCGACAGUAAAAGCAGGGGAGACGUUUCAGCAGCAAAAGCAGUAAAUUGCUUUAGGGAACGUUUCACAACUACUAUCUCUCUGCAUGCCGUUACCAUCGCCAACCGUUACCACUGCAAUAAUGCCCGAACGCCUUUAUUAUCAGAAAAAAAACGCAUGCAUUCUUGGGCUAUAAAAGCCGGAGAAGGGACCGAAAGUGGAGAGGGGGGGGGGGAGAAGAGGGGACGAAACAGAGAGAGGAGAGCGUAAGAGAGUAGAAAACAUAGAGAGUUUUUUGGAAAGGAGUGACAGACAGAGGAAGAGGAAAGGUUUUGACAGACGAACAAAAAACAGAGGGAGAAAGGAGAGGAAAACACAAAAAAACGGGAGGAAGAAAAAAACAGGGAAAACGAAUAUGAGAGAGGGUAAAGAUUUGUUUACAGAGAAGGAAGAAUAGAGGAAGAACUGAAGAGGAGAGUAGCAUCGACCUGUCAGCUUCACCAUCAUCUUCGUCCCCAAGCGCCAGCUUCGCCUCCAGCUGUACUAGGGAACAGGGAAAAAGAGAAAGAGAGAGACAGACGCAGAGCGAUGGAGAAAGAGAGAACAGAGGAGGGAGAAAGGGAGAACAUAAGCAGGCGAGAAAAGGAAAAAACCAGAGGCUGGUGCCUCUUGCGCGGGGAAGAAGAAGAAAGACAGCAGCGCCACCCAGCGCCACCGUGAGCAAUCACUGGAGACAGCAACCUCGAUCCCUCAUUACAGGCAAUCUUCUCCCCUUCUCUGUUGUUUUCCUUUGCAUGCAGAACGUGAGCAAUUCACGUUCUGCAACAAAGGAAAUAUAAUUAUCUAGUUACUGUGCUGGGCACAGUAACCAGCUACUUCUCUGUCCCCUCAUUCCAGGCAAUCUUCUCCCCUUCUCUGUCCCCUCUUCUCUGUUGUUUUCCUUUGCAUGCAGAACGUGAGCAAUUCACGUUCUGCAACAAAGGAAUAAUUACUUGGUUACUCUGAUCAGCACAGUAACCAUCCAUUAGUUCCCACAGUAAUCAUUUUGGGCUGAUUUUGGCCUAGUUUUUUUUUUUGGACCGGAUCCGGUCUAGUAAAAAAAUCCCAUGAAAAACAUGUUGGAAAAUUUGUGAUUUUUUCCGUGUAUUUCUCUACUGAUUUUUGUUUAAUAUUGAGUUGUAUUUUUAUACCAUAAAGAUAAAAAUCCGGUAUUAAAAUACCCGAUUUUCAUCAAAACAUUGAAAAAAUUAAAAAAAAUAUGCAUACGGAGAAGUCUCUAAAAAAAACACAAAAAAAACCCUAUGAAGAGAGUAUGAUCAGAACUACUUUGUUGAUAACCAAAUGCCUUCAAUGAGCUUGUAAACUUGCCAAACCAAGCUCUUGGUGAUUGCUUUCAACCAUACAAUGAUUUGCGCAGUUUACACACUUGUUUGCUCCCUUCAACCUGUAACUUACAUCCUGGAGGCAACUCCAUGUAUGCUUCUUCUUGGAUAGUGAUCCUGUGCAGGAACAUGUUCUUUACAUCAAAUUGAUGUAGUGGCUAAUCAACAUAACAUUUGCAGCUAAUGAUAAGAGAAUGCGUACUGUAUUUAUUUUGGUCAUUGGUGCAAAAGUUUCUGUAUAAUCAAUUCCAUAUGUUUGGCUGUAUCCUUUAGCGGCAAGCCGAGCUUUAAACCUCUCAAUCUCACCAUCAACUUUGUAUUUGACUGAGAAAAAUCCAUCUACAUCCCACAAGUUUCUUUCCAGCAGGUAAAUCAACCACCUUCCAUGAUGCAUUUCUUUGGAGAGAUUUCAUCUCUUCGUUCAAUGCAUUUUUCCAACUAGGAUCUUUUAUAGCUUCCUGCACGUUAUUAGGAACUAUACAAUAGACAAUUGAUUUGCAAAUGAUUCACGUUCCUUUGACAACCUAUGGUAAGAUACAUAAUUGUUUAGUGGAUAUUUAGGGGUAGAAGCUCGGACAAGUUUAUAACUAACUUUAGGAAUUCUUUUUAUGGUACGAUUGGGAAGGAUACGGAGUGGAAGUUCAAGAUUUACCUGAGAUUCAUUAGGUGGUGACGACUCAUGAGGACUAGGAGCAUCAAGCGAAGAUAAUUGUAGUUGUGGUACAUUCAAUUCAACUAUAUUAGGAUGAUCACACGGUGCAAGCUCAUUUGUCGUUGGCUCAAUUGUUGUAUCUGUAUGUUCUAGUCCUACCAGUUCAGGUUGUUCAAGUUUUGUCAAAGUAUGACUUAUGUUCUCACUCUGAUAGGUAAAAGACUUCAAAUCACUACUCUCCUCUCCUUGAUUUGUUGUUGCAGGAAAGUACAUUUGGUGUUCAUGAAAUUGUACAUCCAUGGUAACAUACACUUUGUGAGUUGGUGGAUGGAAGCACCUGUACCCUUUUUUAUGGAGACCAUAACCAAUAAAAACACAUCGGAGGGCACAUGGCUGAAGUUUAUGGCGAGCAUGUUUUGGUAUGUGUACAAAGGCAACACAACCAAACACUUUUAGGGGCAGGUUCAGUAUGAGUGAUGAGGGCAGGCUUUGAUUUAAUGUUUCAAGAGGUGUCUGGAAGUCUAAGCUGGGAGAUGGAAUAUGGUUUAUCACAUAUGAAGUAGUAGCAAGUGAUUCGACCAAAAAAUAAAGGGGCAUUUUGGCUUCAAUAAGUGUAGCUUGAACCAUUUUCAGGAGAUGUCUGUUUUUUGUUUCUGCAACCCUAUUUUGUUGAGGGAUAUAGGGGCAUGUAGUUUGGUGAAUUAUACCCUGACCAUGUAAAAAAUUCCUCAUCUCAUGAUUAACAAACUCUCCACCAUUUUCAGUGCGAAGGACUUGAAUUGAAGUUUUAUACUGAGUAGCAACCAUUGAAUAAAAUUAUUUAAAGAGUGAGCAUACAUCCUACUUUGUUUUCAUCAAACACACCCAGGUCAUGCGACUAUAAUCAUCAAUAAAAGAAACAAACCAACGUGCUCCAUUCAAAGUUGGAACUUUUGCAGGACCCCAAACAUCAGAAUGUAUAAGUGUAAAUGGCGCAGAACUUUUAUUCAAAUUUGGCAGAAAUGGAACACGGUGGCUCUUUGCCAAUUCACAGGUUUCACUUUUAAGUACUGGUAGAGAUGCGUUUGAAAAUAGCUCAUGAAGAAAAUGUUUUAAAUGUCCAAAUGAAAUAUGUCCACAUCGCUUGUGCCAGAACCAAAUAUUAGAAGUGGAUGUUGAACUGGUAACUGCUAAUGACUAAGCCAAUGCAUUUGAGCUAGAUGAUGUGAGAUUAAGGUAAUAUAGCUUCCCUUUUUUAGUACCACAAGCAAUCGUCCUCCUUGUCUUGAUGUCCUUGAAAACAUAAUGGUUAGUCCAAAAAAUUACAGCACAAUGCAAGGAAGUUGUAAUUUGAGAGACAGAUAUCAAAUUAAAAUUAAGGAAAGGAACUAUAAGAACAAUAUCUAAAUUAAGUUUACUUAUAGAAAAUGAACCUUUGCCAAUAACUGUGGCUUCUGUUCCAUUGGCUGUAGACACAACAUAUUUUUCAGAUGGUUUUAAUUUAGAAACAGGGAAGGUAGUGUCAAAAGACAUAUGAUCAGUUGAUCCAGAAUCAAUAAUCCAUGCACAAGAUCUAAUAGGCACAGGUUUAUCAGAAGACUUACCUGGUGAUUUGGAGGAGGUGUGUAAUGCAGUAGCAUUGGUAUUAGGUGAAGAUACUUUAGCUAUGGUGGUGGAGAUUGAUGAUGUAGUUGAAGUUUUGCCUUUACAUUUUGGAGCCUUGGAAUGAUCCCACCAUUCAGGGUAUCCAAUCAAGUCAUAACAUCGACUUUUAGUGUGUCCAGUGUCUCCACAAUGAGUACAAUAUCUAGAUGAGCCAGACUGUUUAUUUCCAAUAUCAAAACUUCGAGAUGUCGCCACUGAACCAGGGUCAGUUUGUCGGACAGGUGGUGUGUUUCAGCGAGCUAACAUGGCCACAGAAUCAGGAGCAGUCAGGUCAUUUGUAAGAAAAAUUCGACGAUUUGCUUCACGAUGAACAUAUGCAUAUGUGCGUUCAAGAUCAAGGCUUGGAUUCAUGCGAAGGAUUUCUUCUCGCACUUGUUCAAAUUCAGCGUCAAGACCAUUUAAGAAGAUAUUUAUCCUCAAUUUUUCAACUGAUGCUUUAUACAUAAUGAUAUCUCCAGGGUCCCUCAUCUUAACUUUAUCACGAUAAUCAAGUUCUUGAAAUAUCUCUACCAGCUCACCAUAAUAUGUAGGAAGAGAUUGACCUGAUUGACGAAUGGAGAAGGCACGUUGAUUGAGAUGAAAUAUUUGUGUUUCAUCUAAUCCAUUAUAGAAUGCUUUAGCAAGAGCACUCUAGAUUUCACGAGUAACACGUAGGCGAAGGUACCUCUUCAUGAUCUCUGAUGUCAUUGAUGUGAGUAAUCAACCUUUAAUUUUUUGAUUUUCAGCCUACCACUUCGAAUAAGAGGGGUCUGUUGGUUCGGGUUGAGAUGAGUCGCCAAUGAUAUAAUUGAGUUUCUCAUGACCCGCAAUGUGCAUCUCAAUUAUUUAGGACCAGGUGUCAUAAUUGGUUUCGGUGAGAAUUAUGCGAGCAUUGAAACCUGAAUUCUCAUAUUGGACAUGUAUAACAGGAGAGGAUGAUAUGAGGGUUGAUUCGGUAGCCAUCGUAUUAAGGGAUAGCUUGAUUCAAUAAGUUUGCAGGGAUUUAGAAAAUCUGCUUUGAUACCAUGAAGAACUGAGUUCUUUAUUUCUCUUUAUUCAUUUAUGUUUUGAAUAAAAUAAUUAUACAGGAACACAAAGGCCUUUUAUAGACCUUUGCAAAGACUCCUAACAGAAUAGGAGAUGAGUCUCGUAAGUCAUAAACAUUGUAUAUAACAGACUAACUUAGAGUUCUUAAUCACAACUACUUAGGAGAUAAAUAUAACAAUCUUCUGAUAACUAUAACAAUUUUCUACAGAAUCUAAACCUACUCUAAUUAGCGUUAUUAUAUAGCUGUCUUAUUUAUGUUUUUUAAUCUCAUUUUAAUAUUAUUUUAUAUAAAAAAAACAAUCCAGCCCGACAACUUUAAGCCUGAUCGACAAAAUAAUGGUGGAAUGAUGGACAUGCGACCAAAAUAUGAACUAAAUUAACCACACUGUUUUUUAUUGUUUUUGUAAUAAGUUGACCACGUCAUGUAGAAAAAAGGAAUCCGAUCGAGAGUUUGCAGGUAUCUUCCUCAUAUAAACUUUAUGAUAUAAACUUUAAGCCUCUUGUAAAGAUAUCAAAGGCUCAAAAGAUUAGAAAAUGAAAUGGUUAGAAUGUCGUUAGUAGCUGUUAGUCUUAUUGUUUGUCAGUUAAGAGAAUUAGUUAAUUAGUAUUGUUUAAUGAAAAAUAAAUAACGUGAAUAAGCUUCCUACUAUAGCAAUAUAUAAACUGAUGUCAAAUAAGGGAACAGCAUUCAAUUAAUAAAACAGAGAAUCAAAGCAGAAUUUCUUCUUCUUCUUUAUUUAACAGAAUCCUUCUCUGUUUUUCUUCAUCUCUCUCUAUUCCUUUUUCUGUGCAAAUCUUACUAUCCUAACAAUAAUUACUAUAUAUAUAUAUAUGCAUUCUAUGUAGUUGAAGACAAAACAUUUAUUUGAUACAGAAGCUCAAAUUACAAGAUCAACAGGAGGAAAAUUAAUGGAGACUGAUCCUCCGAGAUUAGAAUCCAAACUCUCUUGCCAUGAUGAUGAGACAGUGGGCGAUGAGCUUGAACAAAUACUAACAGAUACUGAAGCACCAUAUUUUAAGAGAAUCCGUUCAGCUUCCUGGGUUGAACUGAAAUUGCUUUUCCACCUUGCAGCUCCAGCUGUGAUUGUUUACUUGCUCAAUAAUUUUGUUUUCAUGUCUACUCAGAUCUUUUGUGGUCACCUUGGAAAUCUUGAGCUUGCUG
rnacentral:lncRNA from 1 species